rnacentral:lncRNA from 1 species
GGAACCAUUUCAUUUUAGGAAUCCCCCCCCCACCAUGGGGACUGGUUUCAAAAACUCCUGGUCAGCACAAAACCCACGUGAGCAGAAGAAAAAGGAAUGGAGACCUUCCUAGAGCAGCUCCCAUGUGUCUUCCCAGAAGGUGUUAAAGAGAUACUUUGGUGGGGAAACAGACAGAUACUUAAAGGCACAGAGAUCCAAGUUCCUAUGCCACAGGUGACUGGAUCACACCAAAGUCCCUGGAAUCCUGAGGUUCUCCGAGCUCAGAUGCGUCAAGGAGAGGCACAACAUCCAUACUGCCAGGCUCUGGGCCCCUGCCUCUGGCCAGAGCCUGCCUCCAGCUUUCCCUCCUGCUGCACCACUGGAAUAUCCUCCCUCACCAUCCCUGCCCAUGGACCCUGCUCAGUCUUUUGAGCCUUCGCCUCCCUCCCUCCUGGCACCCUCUGCAUUAUGGAGAUCGGCCUGAAACUGCUUUUUUAUUUGGAUCGACUCCCACUAAGUCGGUAAACAGGAAGGGGCCUCUGAAAUGCCAGCCCCAGGGAAUCCAGUAAACAACUCCUUCCUUCAAGGGCACUAAUGUUUCACCUGGGAAGAACGUUUGUUUGUUUGUUUGUUUUAAAUGUGGCAGAUCAAAGAAAGUUGAUCUCAAAAGAUCAUCUGUUUUAAUCUCAUUUGUAUGAUAUUAUUUGAAUGGAAAAAAUUUAGAAAAGCAGGCGGAUAGACUAGUGGCCAGGAGGAGCUGGGAGAGAGCCUGGGUGGGAGACAGGGUAGGGUGUCAGCAUGAGGCUGUCUGGGCACAGAUUCUGCUGGUGUUAGGCCCUAAGGAUGCGCACAGAGAACAUGGGUGAGCGACAGGCUGGAAGAGAAUUUGACGCACACAAACACAGACACAUACAAACAGGCACAGCUAAGGAGCAGGAAUAAGCCAGAUGGACAGUGUCGCUGACAAGAUCCUGGUGGUGAUGUGUAUGGUAGUCUGGCAAGAUGUCACCCUUGAGGGAAAACUAGAUGCAGGCCGGCGACGCCUCUCUGUCCUUCCUGUUACAGCUGCAAGUGACCGUAUCUGUGAGCUCAGCCAGA